UGUUUUAUCACAUGAACCUUCGAUGACGAUGACGAUGUGAUGAUGACGUAUGAAGGCCCGAGCGAGACGAAGAAGUAAGUUGCCUGAUUUCUUUCCAGAAUAAGCGAAGGACUUCAGGCUAAGCUGGGAGUGAGAUUGGACUGGUGCUGAUGGGGGAGAGUUUCAAAUGAUGUAAAUUAAAUUACUAUUUUGCCUCUAUGAUAAUAGAGUCUUGAUGUUUGAAUUACUUAGUUUCUUUUGAGAUCAAGCAAUACACUCACGGUUAUGUGUCUUCAUACAUAUAAUCGGUUCGCCUUUUGCUGCGAUACUCUGCAAAUUAUGCUUCCUUAUGAAAAAUGAACUAUACGCGUUUUGUUUU